rnacentral:tRNA from 1 species
UACAAUUAAGUAUAUGAUGUACAUAAGUUUUUGAAACUUGGGGCGAAAGUUAAAUUCUUUCAUUUGUAA